GAAAAUCGAAUACUCUAGAGCUAAACUUGAUCGAGACCCAUACAUCCAUCAGCUAGAACACGAAAAAUAGCUGAGAAACCAUACCUUACUCGAUCGAUUUGGUGGAGAAUUGAAACGGCGGUGAUGGGUCAGGAAAUGACGGAGGUCGAGUGGUGGUUCGUUUGGUACCAACGGCGGAGAUCGGCUCCAAGUGUGGCGGCCGUGGCGACGAUGAAAGCGAGCGGAGGUCGGGGCUGGGUCGAAACGGGAGGAGAGAGAGGAGAGGAGAGAGAAGAAGGAGAGGGAUAAAAAUCUAACUUUUUGACCAAAUUCCCAUUUUGCCCUUCGCGGUAUUUUGAUCGUAUUUUCUUUGUUACAAAUCCGAUUCGGGUCUACUCCGUGUCUACGGACUCGUUUCGCCGUGCUCUACGCAAGGGCCAAGCGGAAUUGCCAAAUUCUUUCUUGAUUAAAAAGUCAAAUGUUCCCCCAUUAAAAUAUGCGAGGGCAAAAUCGUCUUUUGGGUGGAAUAAAGAAAUCCUAAUUUUUAGAUAUUUUGGUUUGGGUUAUUACAUAACGGGUCGUACUUUCUUGGGCUUAAUUGGGCUGGGCUUAUGGGCCGGGUCGGGCUUCAGACACCUAAGUCCAAGCCAAGCCAUCUCAAAGCCCAUAACGGGCCGGGUCAGGCUUUUUUUUGAUGGGCCGGGCGGGCCCCCAUCGGCCCAUGAGCCCACGGGCUAAAUGAUGAGGCCUAACCAUAGCGGUCUAAGAAUCAACAAGCCCGAAUGAGCCUUCCGACCGAAAAAGACCCCAAUAACCAUUAGCUUAAAAUCAAAUUUGGAUCAGAGUUGAUUCGAUUCGACUUAAUAUAAAUAUUAUAUACUUUUUAUGUGGUUUAUAUGGAUUGAGGAUAAACUUAAACUAUUUAUAUUAAUUGAGAAUACAAUUAAACUAUUAAAAAGAAAGUCUAGUGAGGUUUUUGUUUUGUUUUGUUUUUUGUUUGUUUAUGUAAGCCUUAAAAUGAAUAUGAUAAUAAUCAGAUUCCAAUCAGAUGCUUUAUGGAUACAAAUUAAUAAGUUCAAUAUGAUAAUCUGAAUUGAGAUCAAUUUGAUUGGUUUAUGGGCCUAAGUAUAAUAUGUUGUGUCUUUGGCAUUAUUGAACGCUAAUGUGCAUAUUUAUUUAAUGAAAGGCCUAAUGAUAUUUUAGCCCCUGAAGGUUUGGGAUCAUUCUUGAAAUGGUUCACGAGGUAUCAAUUUUGUCAAUUUACACCCCAACAUUUUAAAAUUCGACCAAUUUACAUAUUCUGUCAAUUUGACUGUCUAGUCUUCUAUUAAAUUGUUGACAUGACAUCAAAUUAUAUGAUUUUUUUUUUGUUUCCCUGUUUGAAUGAACUGUUUUUCCCUCCAAUUUCAUUUAGGCAACUAUUUGAGCAAAAUUCCACAGGGGGAAUAUUCGCACGUAGAUUCUUUGUGUGAAGACCCGUAUUUUAAACGGAUAAAAGAAUAUAUGUAUCUUUUAGAUAAACUUGGACGAUAUUAUCUUUUUAAGAUAUUUAUCCUUUGGAUAAACUUGGAUGUUCUUAUCCUUUUAAUAUUGAAGUUUAUCCUAUCCCGAUAACCACUAUAAAUAGGAGCAUAACCUUAUAGUUUCAAAACAUGAGAGAGAGAGAGAGAGAGAGAGAGAGAGAGAGAGAGAGAGAGAGAGAGAGAGAGAGAGAGAGAGAGUUGUAUAGUUCCUGGAGGAGUACUGUAUUUUCUUAACUUGGAUUAUGCUUUGGAAUCGAGGUAGGGAUUUCUUGGGGGCCUUUACAGGGAUUGAUUUAAUUAAAUUUCGUGAGCUCUAUAUUAUGUGUGAUAUUGCAUAAUGUUCUUGAUAUGAGAUAUUUACGCAUUGUGAACUAUUUGAGUAAUGUUGGCAUAAUUAUAUCAUGUCAUGGAAAUUGGUUGGAGUUGUUGGGUGGAGAAGAUAAUAAUGGAAAAUAGGGUAAUGGAUAUAGUCUUUUGUGUAGUUGAGUCUAACUCUUGGUAGGUGCUAGGUCUCAGGGAUCCCACAGUGCACAUGGUAUUUAUUGGGUGAUUCGGGACUGGCGAAAGGGAGUUAGACAAGAUGACUAACAAAAGGGGAAUUAUGGGAUGAUUGAAAUGGGUGUUAGUUCAUAUAAAUGGCCAUUCGGGACCAAGUGGUAUAAGCAUGGUAUGAGACGUGCAAGUCUGCUUGCCCAGUUAUAUGAAUUAACGGGAUUAGAUGAAGAGCAUUCAUGCAUUAUUAUUAUUAUUAAUGUGAUAUUUGGCUGUGUGAUUGUGUGUUACUUAAUUUAGUUAUAUCAAUCCACUGUGGUAAGGUCUCAUUUCCCUACUGAGCGGUGGUUGCUCAUCCCUCACCCUAUUUAAUUUUUUAGAUGAAUUAAUAGGCAAGACAAGGACUAAACCAGUUGAGGCUGAAUUAGAUGAGAGUAAUAAAGCUGUAUUUUUUUUAUUUAUCAAAAUAUAGAAUUGUAUUUAUUUAUUGUAAAGUUAUAAGAUUUUGGGAGCUAAUUUUAUAAGAGAAGUUUAUUUUAAACCCAUGUUUUGGCUUCUUUUCUUUUUAUUUUAGUUUUUUUAAAUUUUCUCACUCUCCAGGCGCAGGGUUUUCACCUACCCCGGGUCCGGGGCGUGACAAAUGAAAUGGGUGUUAGUUUAUAUAAUAGGGCAUUCGGAAUCACAGUGGUAAAAUGCAUGGUAUGGGACGUGUAGAUUUGCAUAUAAGAAGCAUUUCUCCAAGUUAAGAAAAUACAAGCUAAGUCCUAUAUCUCUUCCAAGAUUUUCAUCAUCAUCAUCAUCUCUCUCUCUCUCUCUCUCUCUCUCUCUCUCUCUCUCUCUCUGUUCAUUUGCUAUGCACAUAAUGUGCUAUAUAUAUAUAGAGAAUAUGUCGGUAGUGACUCCCUUCCUAUUGGAUGGUGUUUGGCGGUUUACAAAUACUUACCAUCCAAGUUAUAUUCAUGUGGUGGUCUAGCUUUGUAGAUAAGGUAGUUCCAAAUUCCUCCAAUCCUAUACAACCUUUCUUGAUGAAUUGACAGAGCUAGUAUAUAGCUAUGCUUACUAAGCAUUUGUUUUUCUUUGACACAUACUACACUAACAAUGACUAAGCAUAUCCAUAAUAACAAUGACUACACGUAGCUACACUAACAAUGACUAACCAUAUCCAUAUAUAAUAGAAUAGGAUAUUUAUGUAAUACACACAUAUAUAAUAUAAUAUAAUAUAAUAUAUAAAGUAAAUGGCAAAACAUUAAAUCUUCAAACUAUAUAAUUUUUAUAAAUACGGGGUUUCAUAAUUCCAGAGCAUUGCUACAAUUUAAGAAAAUACAAGCUAAGCCCUAUAUCUCCUCCAAGACCCUCGAACUUCCUUCCCCUUCUUCUCCCUUGAUCCACGCGAAAAAAACAUAGUAAAUAGACCACACUUGGGGGAUGUUGGCCAAAUGCCCUCCAAUGCCUCAGUUAGUUAAAUGGAUCUUAAGAAAGAUACGAUAAAUAACAGAAAGGAUGGAGUUUUCUCCCGAGGUGAUAGUCGGGCAGCCGUUGCAGUGUGAGGAAGAGAGAGAAUGGCAAGAGAAAGAGGGAACUUCAGCAGCAAUUAGCUAGGGUUUUUAGAAUUAC
rnacentral:lncRNA from 1 species